CUUUUUCUUCAUAACUUCAUGGCAACAUGACCUACAAUUAUUCAUUUUUCCAGCCUGAGUUUAUCAUUAGUCACCUUAAUUAUGUUCAUUCUGAAGCCAACAGGAGAGCCAAGACCAAAACGUUAUUGUCUCUGCUUUUAUUUUCUUGAUGAAACCUCUGGACUAAGCACACAUCUUCCUUGUUUAUCUCGCUCAGAGGAGUGUGGAGUGCUUCAUCUGGACAUCCAUAGGAAGAAGGAAGACAUGAGGGAACUCUGGAAGAGGAGACAGGCCCCAGAUUUGGGUAGGAAGGGAACAGUUCUGAGGCUGAGGCCAAUCUAACUAUGCACACCAGGAACCUUCCAAUAUUUCUUCAGCAACAGUGUCCCAGCACUUCACUGGUUAACCUUUUAUGGGCACCAUCUGUGGAUUCCACAGCUACUUGUCGAUGGUGAAUAUUGAUCAUCAUCAUUAUCUACUGAGCAGCUACAUAUCCCCAAUACUCCUUGCACGUUGUUCAUUCUUUUCUCAACACUUAGCAUAUUUGCAAUGUAUUUCAUAUCACAGACAAGGAAACUAAACACAGAGACAUUCUAUUUCUUGCCAAACAUCACAAGAGGAUGAACAAUGAAGCUGAUUUGAAACCAGGAUUGUCUGACUCCAACAUCUCUUGUUUUUUUUUUUUUUUUUCACUCUGAUAUGCUGCAAUUAAAAAGCUGUUUCUAAGACAGUA